rnacentral:misc_RNA from 1 species
GAUGAAGAACGUAGCGAAAUGCGAUAAGUAGUGUGAAUUGCAGAAUUCCGUGAAUCAUCGAAUCUUUGAACGCACAUUGCGCCUUCUGGUAUUCCGGAAGGCAUGCCUGUUCGAGAGUCAUUAACAACCGUUUCGAUCCCUUUCUUUCAGAAAUUACAAAGAGGAAAAGGGUUUGGUUAUGGUGGAGGAGGGAAAGGGAGCGUUUAGCCUGUAAAAAAAGAGGCUGUGUUCCGCCUCCCCCCCAAAAUUGUACAGGCGGUCGUGUGCGCCCACGCAUCGAGGUGUUGUAAAAGCUGCCACGGCACUUUUCACCUGUGCAGUGCGAGAUUGGCCAGCCGGUUUAAAAACCCCUCCAAACAAUCAAAGGUUGACCUCGGAUCAGGUAGGGAUACCCGCUGAACUUAAGCAUAUCAAUAACGGAGGA